AUUGAACGCUGGCGGCAGGCCUAACACGUGCAAGUCGAGCGGAUGAAGGGGGCUUGCUCCUGGAUUCAGCGGAGGACGGGUGAGUAAUGCCUAGGAAUCUGCCUGGUAGUGGGGGAUAACGUCCGGAAACGGGCGCUAAUACCGCAUACGUCCUGAGGGAGAAAGUGGGGGAUCUUCGGACCUCACGCUAUCAGAUGAGCCUAGGUCGGAUUAGCUAGUUGGUGGGGUAAAGGCCUACCAAGGCGACGAUCCGUAACUGGUCUGAGAGGAUGAUCAGUCACACUGGAACCGAGACCCGGUCCAGACUCCUACGGGAGGCAGCCGUGGGGAAUCUUGGCCAAUGCGCGAAAGCCUGAUCCAGCCAUGCCGCGUGUGUGAUGAAGGUCUUCGGAUUGUAAAGCACUUUAAGUUGGGAGGAAGGGCAGUAAGUUAAUCCCUUGCUGUUUUGACGUUACCCACAGAAUACGCACCGGCUAACUUCGUG
rnacentral:rRNA from 1 species